AGCUGCCAGUUGGUGGUGAGCAGAGACGUCAUCAGCUUGUAAGCUGAGCUUCAGUGUCCCCUGAGAAUGCAGCCAGCUGGCAACGGUGGAAGAAAGUGGUGAACUCAUUUGACUUCUCUUUAUCAGCUGUUCCAUGUAUAUGAUGUGCAAGAGGACUGGGGCUCUGUGUCAAGGCCAGCUGGGAUGCUGAGGUUUUGUGUUAGGACCAAGGGGGAGGCUGAUGGCUGUUCUUGUUUGUGCUGCUCCACACCACGGCCUAAACUAGCCACAGGCUGCUACUGCCUGGACCCCAGCCCAAACCCACUGGAAUGAGAGAGAUGAGUCUUAGAGUAGAUGCAAAUUAACUUACCCAACUUCGUCUCUCUGGGUCAGCCCCCACAGUAGGCUAGAUAGAUACCUUGACUGCAAGGACAAUCCAGGGCUGGCGUAAGGAACCAAGAGGUAGGCUCAUAGCAGGCUCUAUGCUGAGCUCUGAUUCUACCCUGUCUUAGUGAGGCCAUCCUGGUAUCUCCUUUCCUCCAUGAAGUAUGUGGCGAUUUAAUGGUAGUGAAAUUUAUUGUGGGUAAUGGAGUGUCAAGCUCCUUAUUGCUAAUGGAUGAUUUCAAAUGUGGAGAAAGAUUUAUUAGAUAAAUCAAGCAUACACCUCUGAGAGAAUAUUACUGUGAGUGAAAACAAUUAUAUGGUUAAACAAAGAGGAAAGAAAAUUUAAAUGCAUCUCUAAAGGUCUCUUUAAAUCAGUUUAAAUGUGUGAUUUUUAAAAGAUGGAGAGGAUUAGUUUCAGCAAAUUACUCAUCAAUUUUUUUUUUUUUUUUUUGGAUUCAACAGGAAACCAACAGCCCUACUUGGCUUCCAUUUAAAAAAGUUAUUGGUGUUUGAGGAAGAAAGGAAAAAAAUUAAGGAAGUGACUUUGGUAGCCUAUUGCAGUUCUCAGGUUCUAAUUUCCUUGGUGUAUAGUGAGCUCUCCCUGUAGCAUAUGGAAGGGGUCAGGGAAGCAGCAGCCAGAACCGUCAUUCAGAGAGGAGGAUCAGGGUAUUAGAUGCAUCAGAGCUUUGGAGCUGGAAGCGACUUUGGAGGACAUUUGGACAAUUUCAUCGUGCCUGUGAAGAAGCUAAGGUCCAGAGAAGAAAAGGGACUUUUCUAAGUACCCACACGUGGUAGAUUGCAGAGCCAGAAGCCGGGCUUUGCCGUUGCUCUCUCCGUGCAAUGGGAAUAAUAUUUGUCUCAGGGUGUCUGGAGGAGACAAGAACCUAGGGAAAGUACUUUGGAAAGUAUUCUGCUUAGUCCUGGAAGGGAUGGUGUGUGGAAGAGAUUGGCUGUGAGCCUCCCUGGUGGGUUCAUUUUUGUGAGGGGCCUUUCCCCUACCCUUGGUCACUUCAGCAGUUCCACAGCCAGGACUGUAGCUGGCUGAGGUUCCACACCUCUCUCCCCCACCAAGCUGAGGAGAGGCACAGGCAGCCACAAGCCCCUGACAUUUUCCUUGAGAUGGUGACAGCUGGUAAGACUUUUGACUAAAGGAAUAAAGAGCAAGCAGGCAAAAAAAAGUUACUGUGUUAAAAGUGGUUUAAAAAUGUUGUGCACCAUCUGUUGGGCCACCACGGAUUUUUGGGGUAUGUGUAGGGGGAGAGACCUCUCCUCUCCCACUCCUGAGCUUCACCUCUUUAAGGACCAGCUAUGAGAAGUUUUAGCAUGUCUGCAGGCUUUGAUUUCCAUGUUCCUCAAACUUUCUUUCUGCUCCCUUCCCUUCGCUUCCAAAAAUGCAUGCUCUCAUUCUGCUUCCUGAAAAGAUAUUUUCUUAAUUGCUAAUAAAAUAGAGACCCUGCAAAGCCUGGCACAUAUAGAUCAACAGGCAGGUGUUUGAUGUUGGCCUUUGCUGUCUGAGCUUGGUUCUACUGGAAGGGAAAUAGAACCUAAAAAAAGCAGGUAUUGAAAGACACAUUUUGAAUGUUCUCACUCACAUGUGGGAGCUACAAAUUAAAACAAUCGAACUCAUGGAGAUGGAGUAGAACGAUGGUUACGAGAGGCUGGCCUGGGAAGUGGAAAGCAGGGGAAAAAGUGGGGAUGAUGAAUGGGUGCAAACAUAUAGUUAGAUAGAAGGAAUUGGUGCCAGUAUUUGAUAGCACAACAGGCUGACUAUAGUCAACAAUAAUUUAUUGUGUAUUUAAAAAUAACUAAAAGAGUAGUAUUGGAAUAUUCCUAACACAAAUAACUGAUAGAUGCUUGAGGUGAUGAAUACCCCAAUUACCCUGAAGUGAUCAUUACACAUUGCGUGGCUACAUUAAAACAUCACAUGCACCCCAUACAUAUAUACAUCUGCUAUGUACCCAUAGCAAUUAAAAAUUUUUAAAAGAAAAUACCAUGGAAGCAAAAUAAUAAGAAAAACUAAAAACCAAAACAAGCAAACAAAACCAGGUAUUUAAGCUCUACUCCACCCAGUAAUAUCACAAUCAGGUUUCCCUUCACAUCCUAACCCUUUAGACCACUUCUGCUGACAUUUUUUAUGAAGUUUGUCUGAGAUAUUUUUCAGGUUUUUUUUUUCCCUUUUGUGAAUAGCGUUAUAAAAAUAUAUAUUCUACAUAGUUACUGCUGUAGUACAUGAAAAUUAUUAAUUUUGUGUGUUGAUCGACUUGAUUAACUCAUAUUUGAUUCCAUUUGCUUCUUGUGGAUUUUUCUGAUAGAUGUUUAUAUUGACUGCAAAUACUAACAGUUUUGUCUCUUUCUUUUCAGAAUUAUAUUUCUUAUUUUCUUCUCUUGUCUUUUUCUCUUUUCUUUUUUUUUUUUUUUUUUUGUGUGACGGAGUUUCGCUCUUGUUAUCCAGGCUGGAGUGCAAUGGCGCAAUCUCGGCUCACCGCAACCUCCGCCUCCUGGGUUCAGGCAAUUCUCCUGCCUCAGCCUCCCGAGUAGCUGGGAUUACAGGCACGCGCCACCACACCCAGCUAAUUUUUUGUAUUUUUAGUAGAGAUGGGGUUUCACCAUGUUGACCAGGUUGGUCUCGAUCUCUCGACCUCGUGAUCCACCUGCCUCGCCCUCCCAAAGUGCUGGGAUUACACGCAUGAGCCACCGUGCCCGGCCUUAUUCUCUUGUCUUUAUGGAGUUUAGGAUAAGAAGGGGAAUAUGGAGAUUGUGCCCUGGUUCACUGGUUUUAUCCAACCUCCUCAACUUUGUAUGUUUUGAAGACUGGUGUUUUAAACCACAGUUCCAAAGAUGAGGAUCUAUUCAACAAUCCAGGAGGUCGUCAGGGGCCAUUGACUCCAUUUUAUGGUGAGGCGACAAGUCGCUAAAGAAGAGGGGUCUUGUUGAGAGUCGUAUUGUCAGUUAUUGAUGGAACCAGGACUGGAGCCCAAGUCUUUACAAUACAAUUUCUUCACCCAGAAGUAAUACAGAGAGGCUGUCAGGUCCUUUAAAGUCUUCUUGAACAGGAAAUGGAAGAUGAUUAAUCCUGGAGGUCUUGGUCACUUCUCUGCAUGGAGGGAUGAAAUCUUGUCACAGCUUGAGAAGAGUUUGCCUGAGAGUAAAAUGGCACAUUGAGGAAAGUGAGCUAAGAAAGAGAAAGACAAACUCCUAAUGAGCUUGCUGAAAUACAUAGAUCCAGUCAUUCCUGAAGUUAGUAGUCAUCUCCCACAUUCUAGACUUUUCAGUGAGUUUCACCAGGCAAAGUCUGAGGUGUGGAAUGCAACCAGAAGCAUGCUGCUUGCUGUGGGCAAUGGAAUGUGAGUGGAAGUCACAUGUCACUUCGGGAUGGAGGCCUUCAGAGCAGGACAUUUGCCCCUCUGCUAGCUGCCUGUUGAGAUACCCACAUGGCAAGGAACUGGAGAAGGCCUUUGGCCAAUGGCCAGUGAGGAACUGAGAUCCUUGGCUCAAUGACCUACCAGGAACAGAACCCUGCCAACAACCACAUGAGUGAGUUUGGAAGCACAUUUUCCCUUGGUUACACCUUCAAAUGAGAUUGCAGCUCCAUCCAGCAGCUUGACCAUAAUCUCACGGCAGAGUCUCAGCUAGAAGCAUCCAGGUUUCUGCAUUUCUGACUACCGAUGGCUCUACCUGGACCUUCCCUGACCUAACUUGUCCUGUGGCCCCCACCCAGAAGUAGAAUCCCUGGCUUACCAAACUAUCCUUGAAAAACCCUAGCCUCCAAAUUUUCCGAGAUUGAUUUGAGUAAUAUCUCUCUCUGCCAUGUGGUGUGGCUGGCCUUGUGUCUAUUAAACUGUUUCUUUCUUGCAA